CCUACGGGUGGCAGCAGUCGAGAAUCUUUCACAAUGGGGGAAACCCUGAUGCUGCGACGCCGCGUGGGGGAAUGAAGGUCUUCGGAUUGUAAACUCCUGUCAUGUGGGAGCAAAUUAAAAAGAUAGUACUACAAGAGGAAGGGACGGCUAACUCUGGGUCAGCAGCCGCGGUAAUACAGACGUCUGUAGUGUUGGUCGGAAUCACUGGGCGGAAAGCGUGCGGAGGUUGUUUGGUAAGUCGUGUGUGAAAGGCGCGGGCUCAACCCGUGGACGGCACAUGAUACUGCGAGACUAGAGUGAUGGAGAGGGAACCGGAAUGCUCGGUGUAGCAGUGAAAUGCGUAGAUAUCAAGAGGAACACUCGUGGCGAAGGCGGGUUCCUGGACAGUAACUGACGCUGAGGCACGAAGGCCAGGGGAGCGAAAGGGAUUAGAUACCCCUGUAGUC
rnacentral:rRNA from 1 species